rnacentral:rRNA from 1 species
UGGCGGACGGGUGAGUAACGCGUGGGUAACCUACCCUAUACAGGGGGAUAACAGUUGGAAACAGCUGCUAAUACCGCAUAAGCGCACAGCUUCGCAUGAAGCAGUGUGAAAAACUCCGGUGGUAUAGGAUGGACCCGCGUCUGAUUAGCUAGUUGGUGAGGUAACGGCUCACCAAGGCGACGAUCAGUAGCCGACCUGAGAGGGUGACCGGCCACAUUGGGACUGAGACACGGCCCAAACUCCUACGGGAGGCAGCAGUGGGGAAUAUUGCACAAUGGGCGAAAGCCUGAUGCCAGCGACGCCGCGUGAACGAAGAAGUAUUUCGGUAUGUAAAGUUCUAUCAGCAGGGAAGAAAAAUGACGGUACCUGACUAAGAAGCUCCGGCUAAAUACGUGCCAGCAGCUGC